AAGAGACCUUGACCACAUGGGGGCCAGGUUGCACUGGUUUGUAUACACAUCGAUACAUCUGGUUUCCUUUGUCUUCCACAAGCAAUUCCAAGGUGUUCUUCCCCUGGGGAUCUUCCACCUCAACAAUAAUAUCACCCACACCAGCGCCUAUGAGAAAGCAAACAUCCCAGGAGCCCAAGUUACCUUCUCAGAAAGCUCACAGUUGGGUCUUCCACAAAUACCAUCACAUCUCCUUGCCCAGCACUGAUGGUGUCCACGGUGAACUUGGCUGGCUGCUUCACCAUGUUUCCAGUGGGCUCGAUUCCUGUCACGGAUUCACACAAGCAUUACAAGCUGGACCAGAUCCCUAGAUAAGCCGCUGCCCACCAUGUUGUCUCUUUUGAGGAACUUAGAAAUGGGACACAGCCCUGCGGCCACCAUGUGGGACACAGGCACAGACUGCCAUGACAAGGCUGAUCCAACAGUUUCUUUCAGCAUGAAAAAAAGGCUGGAAAGAAAAUCCUCAGGCGCUAAAGGAAGAAAUGGGGAUUGGCAGUUGAAAAUUGACAGAAAUGAAGCAAUAUGGCCACACAAAACAGAAAGAACAUGUCCCUGUUGUCUCAUCACAGAACAAGAAUAAUAUCUUAAAGUAUGUCCCUGUGGCCUCACGAGUGAUCUUGUUGCCUAAAAAUGACUAUUACACCUUCCUAUUUAAGAAAGAAAAAAAGAUUAAACAUAGAAUUAUCAUAGGAUCCAGCAAUUCCACUUGCAGAGGUAUCACCAUUGCCUUUAGAAGCAGAGGACUGUCUUCAGGCAAUUCUGUAUGUAAGUUCUAGAAGGUCCCAGGAUAAAAGUUAUAUCAAGCAAAGAGGAAGAAACAAGUAGACAUGGGAUUCCAGCAUAAUACAAGAAGGAACAUAGAUAAACCAGC